CACCCCUUUAUUUAAUUCCAAAAGGUAGGCUACUUCCAAAAGACCCACUACUUAAAAGCAUGUACUUCCCUACAAGAACUCCAGUAGAAUUACAUUAGAAUCCAGUCUACAUUGGUGUGAAUCAUGAGGUCAUUGGCCCCAGCUUUAAUCCUGUGUGCGCUACUUCCACUGCUCCAUGCUUCUUGCUACAGGAAAGCUGUGACUUCUGACCCGGGCAAAACCCAUUGUCGUGACGACAAGGACAAGACAUGGCAUCCUGUUGGUUCCCGCUGGAGGAACAGUGAUUGCAUGGACUGUGAUUGUUUAGAAUGCUGCCAGGGGUAUGCAACUCCCGUAGAUUUUCCUGGUGAUUGCAUGAAGGAGUGGGACCAAAAGGCAUGUGAAUUCAAGGUGGUUAAGAAGAGUGAUCCCUCCAUUUCAUGCCCUAUCUUCAGCGCUGUGGGGAAGUGAAUUGUUUUCUUCACUGUGUUCUCAAUAUACAAUGAAUAAAAUACGUUAUACAAUGAAUAAAA